UCAAAAAAAUGAACUAGGGCAUGUGUUUGAUUAGCAAGCUAGAAUUAUGUUAACAUGAAAUGAUUGAAACAUGUUUUUCGUCAUUACAUGAUUCAUUCUUGUUCAUAAUAGCUGAUUUGAAGAAAAUGCAGAUCAAUCAGAAACAUAUAUAUCAAUCCAAUGAGGAGUGGAUUAAUCAAGACAAUGACUGUUGUACUGUGAGCUAUUGCGCAUGCUCGUUCCCGCCCUUGACCGACCGGAUAACACGGACUGAUACGGACGACUAGCACUUGCUCCAUAUUUAUCGUAUAGCAUCCUUCAAUUUACGAGAAAUACAUCAGAAAAGUAGCUGUCCCCCUGCUCAGAUUUUUGUCUGCUGAUACCUUUAGCCUCACAUGUGACCUGACCUCUAUGUGGCAGUGCAGACAUUGUGUAACCAGAGAGAUUAGCAGGUACAAAUUACUGAAACAUUAUAAACUACAUCAUCAUUAUGGGAGAGGCCAACAAUAUCAAUGCAGAUAUGUAAAUUGUCCUUGCACAUUCAGGACGUGGACUGGACUCCGAACCCAUGUCUAUAAAGCUCAUUCAUUCCAACCUACACAGACUGCUUUGAAUUCAGUAACAUUUAAAUGUGAGGUAUGCGGACGUAGUGACCUCUCUACUGAGAAGGAUUUUUUUGUUCACAUUGGGACACAUCUGCGAAGUUGUG